UACGAAGGGUGCAAGCGUUACUCGGAAUUACUGGGCGUAAAGCGUGCGUAGGUGGUGAGUUAAGUCUGAUGUGAAAUCCCCGGGCUCAACCUGGGAAUGGCAUUGGAUACUGGCUCGCUAGAGUGCGGUAGAGGGUGGUGGAAUUCCCGGUGUAGCAGUGAAAUGCGUAGAGAUCGGGAGGAACAUCUGUGGCGAAGGCGGCCACCUGGACCAACACUGACACUGAGGCACGAAAGCGUGGGUAGCAAACAGG
rnacentral:rRNA from 1 species